rnacentral:misc_RNA from 1 species
AACGCACCUUGCGCUCUAUGGCAAUCCGUAGAGCAUGCCUGUUUGAGUGCCAUGAAAUCUCCCACCCCAAGCGGUUUUUAAAUGAAACGGCUUGGCGGAUGGGGUCUGGAUGGGUGCCUCUGCCUGCGCUACCUAGCACAGGCUCGCCCGAAAUGCAUGAGCGCCUUGAGACACUUUGCAUCCGCCUCUCUGUUUGGGAGGAGGCGGCCAAGCAGUGUUUUUCUCCUGGCAUGGCAUGAUACGUCAUUUGCUAUGUCGCCUAAAGGAGGAAUGUUUGGUUGUGUCUGCGUGUGCUUCGAAUUUGCCUCUGUGGCACAUCCCAAUUUCACUUCUGGUCUCAAAUCAGGUAGGAUCACCCGCUGAACUUAA